UACGAAGGGGGCUAGCGUUGCUCGGAAUUACUGGGCGUAAAGGGCGCGUAGGCGGACAGUUUAGUCAGAGGUGAAAGCCCAGGGCUCAACCUUGGAAUUGCCUUUGAUACUGGCUGUCUUGAGUUCGGGAGAGGUGAGUGGAAUGCCGAGUGUAGAGGUGAAAUUCGUAGAUAUUCGGCGGAACACCAGUGGCGAAGGCGACUCACUGGCCUGAUACUGACGCUGAGGCGCGAAAGCGUGGGGAGCAAACAGG
rnacentral:rRNA from 1 species